AUGGCGCGGCAAAUCGUGCCUUCUAGAAGCUUCCACAGCCUCCUCACCUCUCGGCACUACCCGCUCCCCUCCCCGGCGCCACCGCUCCGCCCUCUACUUCUACCGAAAGCCCUAUCUCGGGCCACCGCCGCCGCCACCCCGCAACUCCCUCGCCGGGGGCGACGUCCCGUCGUCGCCGCCUCCGCCUCCGCCCCAGCGCCUUCCUCGUCGGAGACCGAGGCGGUGCCGGGGGCAUGGGGGAAGGUCUCGGCCGUGCUGUUCGACAUGGACGGCGUGCUCUGCAACAGCGAGGAGCCGUCGCGUCGCGCCGCCGUGGACGUCUUCGCCGAGAUGGGCGUCGACGUCACCGUGGAUGACUUCAUCCCCUUCACGGGCACAGGUGAGGCCAAUUUCCUUGGAGGUGUUGCCAGGGUGAAAGGAGUGAAAGAUUUCAGUACUGAAAGCGCCAAGAAGCGCUUUUUUGAGAUAUACCUUGACAAGUAUGCUAAACCAAAUUCUGGAAUUGGGUUCCCAGGGGCUCUGGAACUCAUCAUGGAGUGCAAAAACGCAGGUCUGAAGGUCGCUGUUGCAUCUAGCGCUGAUAGGGUUAAGGUUGACGCAAAUCUGGUGGCUGCUGGUUUGCCUGUAUCGCUAUUUGAUGCUAUUGUUUCCGCUGAUGCUUUUGAAAAUUUAAAGCCUGCUCCAGACAUAUUCCUUGCAGCAUCUAAGAACUUAGGUGUUGACACAGAUGAGUGCAUCGUGAUAGAAGAUGCGCUUGCUGGAGUUCAAGCUGCGAAAGCUGCGGAAAUACGAUGUAUUGCUGUGACGACUUCUCUAGAUGAAGAUGCAUUACAACAAGCCAGUCCUGUGUUCAUCAGAAAAGACAUUGGAGAUAUUUCAAUUAAUGACAUCCUGUAUGGUGGUUCUAAUGCUUCCCACAUUGAUGCAGAUGAACGGACAGAAAAUACCGAGAAUAUUAGUUCCUUAGGAAAUGCUUCUCCUGAAAUUCUGAAUGGAGCAACUAAUGCUGAAUCUGUUGAGAAUACAAACUCUUCAAGUUCGAAAGACCAAGGGUUGUUGGGUUCUCGUCGGGAUAUAUUAAGAUAUGGAAGUCUUGGAAUAGCUUUUUCAUGUCUUUUCUUUACAAUCGGAAAUUGGAAGGCAAUGCAGUUCGCAUCUCCUAAAGGUCUGCUUAAUUUUCUUACGGGUGGGAACAGUUCAAUUUUUGCAACUAAUGAAGGAGAAUCACUGUCAUCAAGAGUUCAGCAAAUAAAGAAGUAUUUAGCUGAUUUUGAAACUGGGGGCUCUGCCACUUACGUACCUGAGUUCCCAAGAAAGCUCGACUGGUUGAAUACAGCCCCACUUCAGUUUGGAAGAGAUUUAAAAGGAAGAGUAGUCGUGUUGGAUUUUUGGACAUACUGCUGCAUCAACUGCAUGCAUGUCUUGCCAGACCUGGAGUUUAUAGAGAAGAAGUAUAAAGAUAAACCUUUCACUGUUGUUGGUGUUCAUUCUGCCAAAUUUGACAAUGAAAAAGAUCUUGAAGCCAUCCGCAGUGCUGUCCUGCGCUACAACGUUACUCAUCCAGUUGUAAAUGACGGUGACAUGUACUUGUGGAGAGAACUGGGGGUGAACUCUUGGCCGACGUUUGUGGUUGUCGCGCCCAAUGGAAAGGUUCUAGCACAAAUAUCAGGCGAAGGCCACAGAAAGGACCUUGAUGACGUAGUUGGUGCAGCACUUGAGUUUUAUGAUGAAAGGAAAUUACUACAGAAUAAUUCCCUCCCCUUGGCGUUGGAGAAGGACAGGGAUAGUCGAUUAAUAACUUCACCACUAAAGUUUCCUGGGAAACUUGCAAUUGAUGUACAGAACAAUCGAUUAUUUAUAUCAGACAGUAACCACAAUCGAAUUGUGGUCACUAACCUGGACGGGGAAUUUAUAUGCCAAGUUGGAAGUUCGGAAGAAGGACUACUUGAUGGUCAAUUUGAUACUGCCUCGUUUAAUCGCCCUCAAGGUCUUGCAUACAAUUUCAAAAAGAAUAUCCUAUAUGUAGCGGACACUGAGAACCAUGCACUGCGAGAGGUUGAUUUUGUUAAUGAGACUGUCAGAACACUAGCUGGAAAUGGGACCAAAGGUUCCGACUACGAAGGAGGAGGCCGAGGAACUAGUCAGGUUCUAAAUUCACCAUGGGAUGUCUGCUAUGCUCCCUCGGAGGAGACCGUGUACAUUGCGAUGGCGGGACAACAUCAAAUCUGGAAACACAACACCCUUAAUAGUGUAACUGAAGUUUUCAGUGGUAAUGGCUCCGAAAAAAAUCUGAAUGGUUCAAGCCCCACCAACACAUCGUUUGCGCAGCCAUCUGGGAUUUCAUUGGAUCCUGAAUUGCGGGAGUUAUUUGUUGCUGAUAGUGAAAGCAGUUCCAUUCGAGCUGUUAAUAUGAAGUCAGGGGGGUCAAGAUGGCUUGCUGGGGGAGAUCCAAAUUUUCCAGAUAAUUUGUUUAGGUUUGGCGAUCAUGAUGGGACUGGCUGGGAUGUGCUACUCCAGCAUCCCUUGGGUGUUGUCUAUGCUAGCGAUAAUCAAAUAUAUGUUGCAGAUUCUUAUAAUCACAAGAUAAAAAAGUUAGAUCCUGUCACAAAAAAAGUUACAACGAUUGCUGGUACCGGACGUGCAGGAUACAAGGAUGAUGAUGCCUUGUCAGCUCAACUAUCUGAGCCAGCUGGACUUGUUGAAGUUGGAGAAGGAAGAUUUCUUGUAGCAGAUACAAACAACAGUGCAAUCAGAUCUAUAGUUUUGAAUGAGAGAGGUGCUGAGGUGCGCACACUAGAUUUGACUGGAGUGCAGCCGCCAUCACCAAAACCGAAGGCGUUGAGACGCCUAAGACGACGGUUAUCAGCAGACACAAAUGUUAUUAAUGUUGAUGGUGGUUCCUCAAUGGAAGGAUAUGUGUCUCUUGCAAUCUCAAUUCCUGAUGGUUACCAUUUCUCAAAGGAAGCACGCAGCAAAUUUGAUGUGGAAACAGAACCAGCUAAUGCAAUUGAGAUCGAGCCAGUGAAUGGAUCUCUAAACUCAGAUGGGCAGGCGUCACUCAAGUUCAAAAGAACAUCAUCAUCAUCAUCAUCAACAGGAAGGAUCAACUGCAAGGUUUACUACUGCAAAGAAGACGAAGUUUGUCUUUACCAAUCUGUGGCUUUUGAUGUCAAAUUCCAAGAGGGGGUACCCAGUCCUGCACCAAUUACUCUAGCCUAUACUGUGGUGCCGAGAGAUAAUUCAGGUAGUUCGCAGUUAAUGGCUGCUGGUAAGAACUUAUAA
rnacentral:rRNA from 1 species